rnacentral:rRNA from 1 species
GGAUUCGAAUGGGGGGAACCCUGACGCAGCGACGCCGCGUGCGGGAUGAAGGCCUUCGGGUUGUAAACCGCUUUCACCAGGGACGAAGCGCGAGUGACGGUACCUGGGGAAGAAGCGCCGGCUAACUACGUGCCAGCAGCCGCGGUAAUACGUAGGGCGCAAGCGUUGUCCGGAAUUAUUGGGCGUAAAGAGCUCGUAGGCGGCCUGUCGCGUCUGCUGUGAAAUCCCGGGGCUCAACCCCGGGCGUGCAGUGGAUACGGGCUGGCUAGAGGCAGGCAGGGGAGAACGGAAUUCCCGGUGUAGCGGUGAAAUGCGCAGAUAUCGGGAGGAACACCGGUGGCGAAGGCGGUUCUCUGGGCCUGUUCUGACGCUGAGGAGCGAAAGCGUGGGGAGCAAACAGGAUUAGAUACCCUGGUAGUCCACGCCGUAAACGUUGGGCGCUAGGUGUGGGUCCCUUCCACGGGGUCUGUGCCGCAGCUAACGCAUUAAGCGCCCCGCCUGGGGAGUACGGCCGCAAGGCUAAAACUCAAAAAAAUUGACGGA